rnacentral:rRNA from 1 species
UUAAGCGACUAAGCGUACACGGUGGAUGCCCUGGCAGUCAGAGGCGAUGAAGGACGUGCUAAUCUGCGAUAAGCGUCGGUAAGGUGAUAUGAACCGUUAUAACCGGCGAUUUCCGAAUGGGGAAACCCAGUGUGNCACACUAUCAUUAACUGAAUCCAUAGGUUAAUGAGGCGAACCGGGGGAACUGAAACAUCUAAGUACCCCGAGGAAAAGAAAUCAACCGAGAUUCCCCCAGUAGCGGCGAGCGAACGGGGAGCAGCCCAGAGCCUGAAUCAGUGUGUGUGUUAGUGGAAGCGUCUGGAAAGGCGCGCGAUACAGGGUGACAGCCCCGUACACAAAAAUGCACAUGCUGUGAGCUCGAUGAGUAGGGCGGGACACGUGGUAUCCUGUCUGAAUAUGGGGGGACCAUCCUCCAAGGCUAAAUACUCCUGACUGACCGAUAGUGAACCAGUACCGUGAGGGAAAGGCGAAAAGAACCCCGGCGAGGGGAGUGAAAAAGAACCUGAAACCGUGUACGUACAAGCAGUGGGAGCCUCUUUAUGGGGUGACUGCGUACCUUUUGUAUAAUGGGUCAGCGACUUAUAUUCUGUAGCAAGGUUAACCGAAUAGGGGAGCCGAAGGGAAACCGAGUCUUAACUGGGCGUUAAGUUGCAGGGUAUAGACCCGAAACCCGGUGAUCUAGCCAUGGGCAGGUUGAAGGUUGGGUAACACUAACUGGAGGACCGAACCGACUAAUGUUGAAAAAUUAGCGGAUGACUUGUGGCUGGGGGUGAAAGGCCAAUCAAACCGGGAGAUAGCUGGUUCUCCCCGAAAGCUAUUUAGGUAGCGCCUCGUGAAUUCAUCUCCGGGGGUAGAGCACUGUUUCGGCAAGGGGGUCAUCCCGACUUACCAACCCGAUGCAAACUGCGAAUACCGGAGAAUGUUAUCACGGGAGACACACGGCGGGUGCUAACGUCCGUCGUGAAGAGGGAAACAACCCAGACCGCCAGCUAAGGUCCCAAAGUCAUGGUUAAGUGGGAAACGAUGUGGGAAGGCCCAGACAGCCAGGAUGUUGGCUUAGAAGCAGCCAUCAUUUAAAGAAAGCGUAAUAGCUCACUGGUCGAGUCGGCCUGCGCGGAAGAUGUAACGGGGCUAAACCAUGCACCGAAGCUGCGGCAGCGACGCUUAUGCGUUGUUGGGUAGGGGAGCGUUCUGUAAGCCUGUGAAGGUGUGCUGUGAGGCAUGCUGGAGGUAUCAGAAGUGCGAAUGCUGACAUAAGUAACGAUAAAGCGGGUGAAAAGCCCGCUCGCCGGAAGACCAAGGGUUCCUGUCCAACGUUAAUCGGGGCAGGGUGAGUCGACCCCUAAGGCGAGGCCGAAAGGCGUAGUCGAUGGGAAACAGGUUAAUAUUCCUGUACUUGGUGUUACUGCGAAGGGGGGACGGAGAAGGCUAUGUUGGCCGGGCGACGGUUGUCCCGGUUUAAGCGUGUAGGCUGGUUUUCCAGGCAAAUCCGGAAAAUCAAGGCUGAGGCGUGAUGACGAGGCACUACGGUGCUGAAGCAACAAAUGCCCUGCUUCCAGGAAAAGCCUCUAAGCAUCAGGUAACAUCAAAUCGUACCCCAAACCGACACAGGUGGUCAGGUAGAGAAUACCAAGGCGCUUGAGAGAACUCGGGUGAAGGAACUAGGCAAAAUGGUGCCGUAACUUCGGGAGAAGGCACGCUGAUAUGUAGGUGAGGUCCCUCGCGGAUGGAGCUGAAAUCAGUCGAAGAUACCAGCUGGCUGCAACUGUUUAUUAAAAACACAGCACUGUGCAAACACGAAAGUGGACGUAUACGGUGUGACGCCUGCCCGGUGCCGGAAGGUUAAUUGAUGGGGUUAGCGGUAACGCGAAGCUCUUGAUCGAAGCCCCGGUAAACGGCGGCCGUAACUAUAACGGUCCUAAGGUAGCGAAAUUCCUUGUCGGGUAAGUUCCGACCUGCACGAAUGGCGUAAUGAUGGCCAGGCUGUCUCCACCCGAGACUCAGUGAAAUUGAACUCGCUGUGAAGAUGCAGUGUACCCGCGGCAAGACGGAAAGACCCCGUGAACCUUUACUAUAGCUUGACACUGAACAUUGAGCCUUGAUGUGUAGGAUAGGUGGGAGGCUUUGAAGUGUGGACGCCAGUCUGCAUGGAGCCGACCUUGAAAUACCACCCUUUAAUGUUUGAUGUUCUAACGUUGACCCGUAAUCCGGGUUGCGGACAGUGUCUGGUGGGUAGUUUGACUGGGGCGGUCUCCUCCUAAAGAGUAACGGAGGAGCACGAAGGUUGGCUAAUCCUGGUCGGACAUCAGGAGGUUAGUGCAAUGGCAUAAGCCAGCUUGACUGCGAGCGUGACGGCGCGAGCAGGUGCGAAAGCAGGUCAUAGUGAUCCGGUGGUUCUGAAUGGAAGGGCCAUCGCUCAACGGAUAAAAGGUACUCCGGGGAUAACAGGCUGAUACCGCCCAAGAGUUCAUAUCGACGGCGGUGUUUGGCACCUCGAUGUCGGCUCAUCACAUCCUGGGGCUGAAGUAGGUCCCAAGGGUAUGGCUGUUCGCCAUUUAAAGUGGUACGCGAGCUGGGUUUAGAACGUCGUGAGACAGUUCGGUCCCUAUCUGCCGUGGGCGCUGGAGAACUGAGGGGGGCUGCUCCUAGUACGAGAGGACCGGAGUGGACGCAUCACUGGUGUUCGGGUUGUCAUGCCAAUGGCACUGCCCGGUAGCUAAAUGCGGAAGAGAUAAGUGCUGAAAGCAUCUAAGCACGAAACUUGCCCCGAGAUGAGUUCUCCCUGACUCCUUGAGAGUCCUGAAGGAACGUUGAAGACGACGACGUUGAUAGGCCGGGUGUGUAAGCGCAGCGAUGCGUUGAGCUAACCGGUACUAAUGAACCGUGAGGCUUAACCUU